rnacentral:rRNA from 1 species
GACGAACGCUGGCGGCGUGCCUAAUACAUGCAAGUAGAACGCACAGUUUAUACCGUAGCUUGCUACACCAUAAACUGUGAGUUGCGAACGGGUGAGUAACGCGUAGGUAACCUGCCUGGUAGCGGGGGAUAACUAUUGGAAACGAUAGCUAAUACCGCAUAAUAUUGAUUAUUGCAUGAUAAUUGAUUGAAAGAUGCUAUUGCAUCACUACCAGAUGGACCUGCGUUGUAUUAGCUAGUAGGUGAGGUAACGGCUCACCUAGGCGACGAUACAUAGCCGACCUGAGAGGGGUAUCGGCCACACUGGGACUGAGACACGGCCCAGACUCCUACGGGAGGCAGCAGUAGGGAAUCUUCGGCAAUGGACGAAAGUCUGACCGAGCAACGCCGCGUGAGUGAAGAAGGUUUUCGGAUCGUAAAGCUCUGUUGUAAGAGAAGAACGGGUGUGAGAGUGGAAAGUUCACACUGUGACGGUAUCUUACCAGAAAGGGACGGCUAACUACGUG